GAACUCACAAUUCUCUUAUUCUAUUUCUGACUUCUCAGCCAUUUCGAUUCGAUUUAUAGUUUUUUUUUUCAAUUUCCCGGUAAGUUUGAUUUCUCGUCUAUUUCGAUUUCACGUUUUUAUAGACUUGCUGUUUUUUUUUGAUUUCCCGAUGAACUCGAUUUCCCGAUGAACUCGAUUUCCCGUCUAUUUCAAUUUCGCUGUGAACGGUCUG